UGAAGCGGAAAAAGAAAAGAAAAAAGAGAAGGUGGUUUACAAAGAAAAUAAGAAAGAAAGAAAGUGGGCAACAAAGAUGGAACCGGUGCCACACAAUUUUAGGACAUUGCUAAUAAACAUUGUAAAUAAUUGAAAUGAGAUAUAGAAUUCUCAAUUUGUUUUGAAAGAGUAAAAGUUAAAAAAAAAAAAAAAAAAAGCUAACCUAAAUGCACAUAUAUAUAAAUAAUAAAAAUCACACGAUGCACAUCACUUACCCCAUUUCCCCCACUAAUUCACAAACACACGCAUGCACGCAUUAAAACUUUAAAAAUUUCUAAAACACGUUUUUUGGAUCUUUUUUGUAACAAAUUUAUUUUCAGAAAUAUAAGCAUAAAAAACACGUUCUUGGGAAGUUACCAAGUAAAGUUAUAACUGCAAAAAUGUCUAAUUUUUGUAUUUUAAAAUUGGGAAGUUACCAACUGGUAAAAUUAUAACUUUAAAAAGAGACAUAAAAUAAAAUAUAAGUAACACAUGUAGGGACAAUUUGGUUCCACCAAAUCCGGAUAAUGGUCCGGAACUUCCAAACCAUUACUUAUUCUUUAUUUUUUUGGGGGAAAGUCUAGGCCAGAAGAGAUAAUAUCCGGUCCAUGGCUUGCUCGGUCACUUGAGGAAGCGGUGGAGGAAUACAAUGGAGAUUCAUUUGGGAAAGUCAAGCAGUAUUUUAAAGAUCGAUCCGAGACUAAGAAGACGCUGUUGGAUAGGAGGCACUUUCUCUUGGGCGAGAUCCACCAUUUGGGAGAAGAUUCUCUCCCGUAAGGCUUAUUUCUAAAUUUAUUUGGCGGAAGUACGCAAGCAAGCUUUUGAAUUCAAGAGUUGGUCUAAACCAAUAUGUAUAGAUGGACAUGAUUUUGAAAAUCAAUACCGGCAACUGAAUGUUAUUCAAGGAGUUGAAAAACUCAAAAUGAUAAUGCUAAGUUUUCAUCCUAAACUACUCCAAAUAUUGUGGUUUAUGGAAUGGUAAAAAUUGCCUACUAAGCUGAUGACUACAGUUCCUACAACAUAGGAAAUGAUGAGUUCGAAUGAGCUUAUGAUGAUAAUUUUGGGUGCUAUGCAUGAUUAAGAUGCUUGUGUGUUUUGCACAUACUGUAGAAUAAAAGAUGUCUGUUAUAUACGCAUCAUAAUGAUGUACACAAGGUGUUUUUGUGAUGGGUAUCUAUUUCGCACAUGUAUAUGAAAAUGCCAUGUCCUGCCGUGUUAGUACCAAGGCCUUUGGCUAAGUGUACUUAGCGGUUGUAGUACAAAAAAAGAUUGGGACUUAGGACUUCUUUCCUCUCUUUUUCUUUUCAAUGGUAGAGUUUGAGAAUUGUCUGUCUACGACUACAAGACAUAGGAAGUGUAAAGGCGUAUUCGUUACAGACAUUCAAUACUCAAAGUGUUUAAACUAGAAGUGUACGUAUUCUAUUUGAUUUUAUUUAAAUCUGUAUUUUGUGUAAAUUCUCAUA